rnacentral:lncRNA from 1 species
AAAUUCUCUGAACUGCAGUCCACAAAAACAACAGUGAACUUGACAGAGAAAAACAUGUGACUGUUGCCUCAGUAAUUGUGCUCCACUGUCAGGACUGUAGAGGCAUGAGGUGGAGCCCUGUACUUCUGAGAAAGG